CGUGUAGGCGGCUGAGCAAGUCAGAUGUGAAAUCCCUGGGCUUAACCCAGGAAGUGCAUUUGAAACUGCUUAGCUUGAGUAAGGAAGAGGGAAGUGGAAUUCCUGGUGUAGAGGUGAAAUUCGUAGAUAUCAGGAAGAACACCGGUGGCGAAGGCGACUUCCUGGUCCUAUACUGACGCUGAGACGCGAGAGCGUGGGGAGCAAACA
rnacentral:rRNA from 1 species